rnacentral:misc_RNA from 1 species
UACGGAGGGUGCAAGCGUUACUCGGAAUCACUGGGCGUAAAGGACGCGUAGGCUGUUUAGCAAGUCAGAUGUGAAAUCCUAUGGCUCAACCAUAGAACUGCAUUUGAAACUGCUAGACUAGAGUAUGGGAGGGGGAGAUGGAAUUAGUGGUGUAGGGGUAAAAUCCGUAGAUAUCACUAGGAAUACCUAAAGCGAAGGCGAUCUCCUGGAACAUUACUGACGCUAAGGCGUGAAAGCGUGGGGAGCAAACAGG